AACGCGAAGAACCUUACCUAAGCUUGACAUCCUUUUGACCGAUGCCUAAUCGUAUCUUUCCCUUCGGGGACAGAAGUGACAGGUGGUGCAUGGUUGUCGUCAGCUCGUGUCGUGAGAUGUUGGGUUAAGUCCCGCAACGAGCGCAACCCUUGCCUUUAGUUGCCAGCAUUAAGUUGGGCACUCUAGAGGGACUGCCAGGGAUAACCUGGAGGAAGGUGGGGAUGACGUCAAAUCAUCAUGCCCCUUAUGCUUAGGGCUACACACGUGCUACAAUGGGUGGUACAGAGGGCAGCCAAGUCGUGAGGCGGAGCUAAUCCCUUAAAGCCAUUCUCAGUUCGGAUUGUAGGCUGAAACUCGCCUACAUGAAGCUGGAGUUACUAGUAAUCGCAGAUCAGAAUGCUGCGGUGAAUGCGUUCCCGGGUCUUGUACACACGC
rnacentral:rRNA from 1 species